rnacentral:rRNA from 1 species
GAUGAACGCUAGCGGCAGGCCUAAUACAUGCAAGUCGGACGGGAUUGGAGAGCUUGCUUUCCAUGAGAGUGGCGCACGGGUGCGUAACACGUAUGUAACCUACCUUGUUCAGGGGGAUAGCCUCUCGAAAGAGAGAUUAAGACCGCAUAACAUCACGCUAUAGCAUUAUAAUGUGAUCAAAUAUUUAUAGGAACAAGAUGGGCAUGCGGAACAUUAGCUAGUUGGUAAGGUAAUGGCUUACCAAGGCUACGAUGUUUAGGGGAUCUGAGAGG